UAUGAGACAGCGUGGAUAUUAGAGAAUUGUUAGUAAUUUUGUAUGGAAUAAUUAGUUAGGACAAAUCCACAUUUAAUUAGUAACUCUCCCAUAAAAAAAUCAAUAAGGACAAAUUCACAUUUAAUUAUUAACUAGCCAAUAAUAUGUCAAUAGAUUAAUUAAAAUAUAUUGUUGAUACUUGUAAAUCAAAAACUUAAAAAUCAGAAUUAAUAAAAAUAUGUUUAUUCUGUAAAUAAAUAAAAAAUGUAGAAAACUAAAACAAAAAGUAUCUAGUUGGGAAAUAAUGGUUACAUUGAGCAUGCCAUUUUUAUAAUAACAGUGGUGGCAAUAAGGUUUAAAGACAUAACCUUGGAGUAUUUCUAGUAUACAUAUACACAAAAAAUGUAAAAAAAAUAAAAAAAUAAAAUAAAAAACUCCAAAUUUAUUUUUGAUUUGAAGAAAAUUGAUGUCUAACUCUAAUCCAUAAUUUGAAUCAUAAGAAUUGAGAAUGAUCUUAUUGUAUAGUCUUCAAGAUAUGAUUAUGACUUGUAGAAUAUUGUUGUGCCUUCACUUCAAAUCUAUCAAACUUGCGUUUAUGGAUUGGUUUUGAAACCAAGAAAAACUCAACACCACGAUGAAUGAGGCUAAUUAGAAUAAGAACUAAACCCAAUUCAAGGUCACCUUUUACAAUUUCGAAAUACUCAUAAACAACAUAGAAAUAAUGGUGCAAAUCUAGUAGAAAAAUUGAUAAUAGUGCUAAGGAGAAUGCAAAUAAGAGAAAGAAAAAGAGGAUGAUGAUAACUAUGAGAAGAAGAAAGAAAACGAAUGAGGCAUGAAGAAGAGCUAAGAGAAUGAGAUCUAAGUUUGGGAACAUGUUGAAUUUGAUUUUGAUGAAACAAAGUCAUGUUGGAUUGUUAAAGUAAGGGAAAAAAAUG
rnacentral:lncRNA from 1 species